GAAAUUGAUUCCACCACAGGGGGCCGAUGAGAUUAAAAUCCUUCAUUCUCUCCUUUGCCGGUUUCUAUCAUCUCUUUCUCCGGUAAACAACAAACUAAACCUAAGUCUGAUCGAAAAAGCGAUCACUUGACUCAAAUUUCGUACGAAUUAUCUACCUGAACCCUAAUGGAUCAUCCAGAAGAUGAAACCCACAGCGAGAAACAAGACGACGAGGAAGCUCUUGCUCGUCUUGAAGAGAUUAAGAAGUCAGUGGAAGCUAAAAUGACUCUUCGUCAAAAUAAUCUCAAUCCUGAACGACCUGAUUCAACAUAUCUUAGGACUCUGGAUUCUAGUAUCAAGCGGAAUACAGCAGUUAUCAAGAAGUUAAAGCAGAUCAAUGAGGAGCAG